UACGUAGGGUGCAAGCGUUAAUCGGAAUUACUGGGCGUAAAGCGUGCGCAGGCGGUUUGUUAAGUCUGCUGUGAAAUCCCCGAGCUCAACUUGGGAAUUGCAGUGGAUACUGGCAAGCUGGAGUACGGUAGAGGAAGGUGGAAUUCCCGGUGUAGCAGUGAAAUGCGUAGAGAUCAGGAGGAACACCGGUGGCGAAGGCGGCCCACUGGGCUGUCACUGACGCUGAGGCGCGAAAGCUCGGGGAGCGAACGGG
rnacentral:rRNA from 1 species